rnacentral:rRNA from 1 species
UACGUAGGGGGCAAGCGUUGUCCGGAAUCAUUGGGCGUAAAGAGCGUGUAGGCGGUCCGGUCAGUCGGUUGUGAAAGUCAAGGGCUCAACCCUUGAAUGCCGCCGAUACUGCCGGGCUAGAGUCCGGAAGAGGUGAGUGGAAUUCCUGGUGUAGCGGUGAAAAUGCGCAGAUAUCAGGAGGAACACCGAUGGCGAAGGCAGCUCACUGGGACGGUACUG